UGUGCAUCUGCGGGGAACCGUGGGUGCGGAGCCGCGUUCUCCACGGCACAGACGAGCGGGCACAGCCUCGCUCGCACGCUGGGCGCGUCCGCGGUGUCAGUCCCCUCCUGCGUGCGGCCCGGAAUGCUCAGGGUCAGGGACUAGUACGACCUCGGUGGGGAAGACUGGGCACCAAAAGCUCCUCUGAAUCCCGCGCAGCCAAGGCCAGGCGGCUGCAGUGCGAGUUUUAAUAGUCAACACUGACCUGUCAGUGCAAACGCAGAAACUAACGGAUCGUGAGGGUGAGGUUUUAGAUUCACACUGAAAUUGGGAGGAAAAUGCAGAUUUCCUGUGUAGACCCAACCUAGUUUCCCCUCGCAUUAACAUAUCAACAUGUAUCAGGUAUUUCAGGACAGCCAUGUGCGGGUGCACAUCCGCCGAGAAACUGAGCAAAAGUGUCCGUGCUGAGUUGUAGCGUCACCAGAGGGCACGUGAACCCACCCCUGACCAACUUCCCUGUGAGGUGCCAGAAGCAGCCACGAGCUUCGACUUCCUUAGGGCAGCACGAGGGUCGUGUCAACUAAGUGUUGUUCAUUGAAACACACGGGCUAGUGGGCUCCGUGUCAGUUUGCAUUUUCAGAACGAUGGCGCUGAACGCUUCGCCUUUUGACUUUAAGGGUGCGUGUCCACCGCCAGCGCCAUGAGCGCGAGGGCCCUGCAGUGCCCCCGGCCGCAGCAGAGGGCGCGCGAGCCCCAUCUUUUCUAACCCGGAGGCCACGGCGUCCCGCCCAUUUCCCGUGCGCAGGCGCGUGUGACGCCGGGCUAGGUUCUCAGCACAGUCCGGGGACGCCCCGCACUUCGGGUCGCCUGGGGCCCGUGUCCACGUGAGUAAAAGCUUUCUUGUUUGCUGACCUGACUGCUGAGGGGCAGAGAACCUUCCUGUGGAAAAUUAGAAACCAAAGACGGUGGUGAAUCAGGCGGAGCUGAGGCUCUUUGUCAGAACAGAAAUGCAGCGUCAGGAGGGCAAAGAAUAAGAACGGCUUAUAAUCCCAGUAACGCUCCGUCUGUGGUGCUGGGUGGCACCUCACACCGCUUAGGGGAACAUGGCAGCAAUGCGAAUGUGCCUCUCAGAGUGCAGAGAACGCCCAGAACGCCUGAGUGCUCACACGAACCACUCAGAACGCCCGCGAGAGACCGACACCGCAGCCGUCAAACUCUCCUAACCCUAGAACAUGCGUGUGUCCCUGAGAGCACACACACAUCACCCAGAAAGCCUCUGACAUCAGACUCAGAGUAUCCCAAUACCUGUCACACUUCUAUAACCCCCAGAACAUGCGUGUGUCCCUCAGAGCGCACAGGUAUGCCCAGAACGCCAGUGACACUUCAGAGUGCACAUAUCACCUGGAACACACAAAUGAUAUCGUCAGAUUAACCCGAUACCUGUCUCACUCAUAUAACCCCUGGAACACACAUGUGUCCUUCGGAACACACACAUAUCACCUGGAAUGACUCUUACACCGUCAGAGUCAGGGCACCUGGAACACACAGAUAAUGCUGUCAGACUAACCCAACGCUCUUCACACUCAUGUAACCCCCAGAACACACGUGUGUCCCCCUGAACACACAUGCAAUGCUUGGAGUGACCAUGACACCGUCAGACUAAUGCAACACCUCUCACACUCAUAUAACCCCCAUAAUGUGUCCCUUAGAACACACAUAUCAUCACUUGGGACAUGAAUAUGUCCUUUGGAGUGUCUGCAGCACCGAGGAUGGGACCCUCUGGUUCUCGCUGGGGCACUGGCUUUACAGUCUAUGUUAGGCUGGGUUUGGCCUCUGUUACGAAGUGUGAUGUCGUUUCUGCCUUUCUGAUGUGGUAUUGACAGGGUUGUUUUAAAAAGUAUUUGACUUACCAGUAACGUCAUAUUUCUGGGAAACUUGGAACUGCAGUUAGUAUGCCUUCUCCUGACCUCCGAUUCCCUAGAGCAGUUACUGCUGUGACAGAUUUGCAGCUUGAGACAAAAUGCCCCCGUGUGUUUCACCAAAAGCACAAACAGUUCUUCAGGCGACCCCCACAUAACUCACAAAUCAGGAAAUUCACGGUUUCUUUUUCUUCUUUUCUUUUGGGGGGGGGCACGGUGUGUUUUGUUCCCAGGCUUGAGUGCAGUGGCAAGCUCUGAUCUCACUGCAACCUCCACCUCCCGGGUUCAAGGGAUUCUCCUGCC